rnacentral:rRNA from 1 species
GACGAACGCUGGCGGCGUGCCUAAUACAUGCAAGUUGAGCGAUGAAGAUUGGUGCUUGCACCAAUUUGAAGAGCAGCGAACGGGUGAGUAACGCGUGGGGAAUCUGCCUUUGAGCGGGGGACAACAUUUGGAAACGAAUGCUAAUACCGCAUAAUAACUUUAAACAUAAGUUUUAAGUUUGAAAGAUGCAAUUGCAUCACUCAAAGAUGAUCCCGCGUUGUAUUAGCUAGUUGGUGAGGUAAAGGCUCACCAAGGCGAUGAUACAUAGCCGACCUGAGAGGGUGAUCGGACACAUUGGGACUGAGACACGGCACAAACUCCUACGGGAGGCAGCAGUAGGGAAUCUUCGGCAAUGGACGAAAGUCUGACCGAGCAACGCCGAGUGAGUGAAGAAGGUUUUCGGAUCGUAAAACUCUGUUGGUAGAGAAGAAAGUUGGUGAGAGUGGAAAGCUCAUAAAGUGACGGUAACUACCCAGAAAGGGACGGCUAACUACGUG